GACGAACGCUGGCGGCGUGCUUAACACAUGCAAGUCGAACGGAAAGGCCCCUUUGGGGGUGCUCGAGUGGCGAACGGGUGAGUAACACGUGAGUAACCUGCCCUUGACUUCGGGAUAACUUCAGGAAACUGGGGCUAAUACCGGAUAGGAAUCCUUGCUGCAUGGUGGGGGUUGGAAAGCUUCGGCGGUUUUGGAUGGACUCGCGGCUUAUCAGCUUGUUGGUGGGGUAGUGGCUUACCAAGGCUUUGACGGGUAGCCGGCCUGAGAGGGCGACCGGCCACAUUGGGACUGAGAUACGGCCCAGACUCCUACGGGAGGCAGCAGUGGGGAAUAUUGCACAAUGGGCGGAAGUCUGAUGCAGCAACGCCGCGUGCGGGAUGACGGCCUUCGGGUUGUAAACCGCUUUCAGCAGGGGCGAAGCUUGUGGUGACGGUACCUGCAGAAGAAGCACCGGCUAACUACGUG
rnacentral:rRNA from 1 species